UACGUAGGGUGCAAGCGUUAAUCGGAAUUACUGGGCGUAAAGCGUGCGCAGGCGGUUGUGCAAGACAGAUGUGAAAUCCCCGGGCUUAACCUGGGAAUUGCAUUUGUGACUGCAAGGCUAGAAUCUGGCAGAGGGGGGUAGAAUUCCACGUGUAGCAGUGAAAUGCGUAGAGAUGUGGAGGAACACCGAUGGCGAAGGCAGCCCCCUGGGUCAAGAUUGACGCUCAUGCACGAAAGCGUGGGGAGCAAACAGG
rnacentral:rRNA from 1 species